GUCCCAGCCGUAAACGAUGGACACUAGGUGUUGGUGGUAUCAACCCCGCCAGUGCCGUAGCUAACGCAUUAAGUGUCCCGCCUGGGGAGUACGGCCGCAAGGCUAAAACUCAAAGGAAUUGACGGGGCCCGCACAAGCAGCGGAGCGUGGGGUUUAAUUCGAUGCAACGCGAAGAACCUUACCAGGGCUUGACAUGACCAGGAAGUCGGCGGAAACGUCGGUGCCCCGCAAGGGGGCCUGGCCACAGGUGUUGCAUGGCUGUCGU
rnacentral:rRNA from 1 species